UACGGAGGGAGCUAGCGUUGUUCGGAAUCAUUGGGCGUAAAGCGCGCGCAGGCGGUUGAGUAAGUCGGACGUGGAAUCCCGAGGCUUAACCUCGGAAUUGCGUUUGAAACUGCUCGGCUAGAGUUCGGGAGAGGGUGGCGGAAUUCCCAGUGUAGAGGUGAAAUUCGUAGAUAUUGGGAGGAACACCUGUGGCGAAGGCGGCUUCCUGGACCGAUACUGACGCUGAGGCGCGAAAGCUAGGGGAG
rnacentral:rRNA from 1 species